CAGGCUGCCUUAGACAGGCAGAGCUGUGUAAAAACAAAAUAAAAUGGGAAAAUCUAAGAACUACUGUAAAAUGUAACCUGCUUUGUGCUUUCUUCCCCAGACUAGAAGAGACCUGUCUUAAGAAAGAUGGAGAUGGCCCCCAUCUUCCUUCCACAUGUUGCUCUGCCAAGGUACAGGACAUCCCAGUCUGGCUGUAUUCUGCCAGAGAAUUACAGCGGAGAGGAAUUUGUACACUACAACAGAAGCUUAAAAGAAAGAAAUCAUCUGUGUUUUCUCAUUCUGAUCAACAUCUCAAAGCUUGGGCUCGGUCUGCCAAUAUCUUCUGCCUCAUGAGUGAUGGCACUGCAGAGUGUGGAAUGGAUCACAAUCAAAAAGCUGGUCUGUACAAGCGUUUUAAGGUACAGUGCAUACUUUAAAAACCCAUUAGCUAAAAUGCUGUCUGUACUUUUAUGCAGUAGAAUAUCAAUGCAUCAGCCUCGGAGUAGCUGUAGAAGAAAGUACUUAAUAUUGAAUUUUCUUGCCCUUAAACAUGAAUUAUAAUGAUGAUAUUUUGUGGCUUUGCGUUUUACAAUACAACUCUAAAAAUACUACACAAACACUUUAAGAUUCUUUCCUUAUGAUUGUAAUGUCUGCCUUGGCAAAUGGUGUGCAUUAUAAAGAUAUAUUGUAGCUGUAUUGAAGGUACAUGUUACACAAAAAAAGAACUCAUUAAAAAC
rnacentral:lncRNA from 1 species